UGGGUAACAGGAAAACAACCUCGUAGUGAAUCAUCCAGCGUCUUACAGUCCAACCCUUUGUCUCCGUCCCUGAACUCACCACAGCCGAGCAGCGUCUGUUCUCCCGCUGCCCUUCACUGUUCCACUGUGCUGAAGGAAACAUAUUCUGCUCCUAUUCAGGCCCCUCCCUCCCCGAUGAAGCCCAGUCUGCUCUGAUUGGCCAGCUGGCCGUUUCAAGGAGCGUAACUUGCCGCUUGCUUUUCUGCUGAAUGGAGAAACGGCGGCACGCGGAGUCAAACGGAUCGUCUCCGAGCCGGGGAAGUCGUCGUUCAUCAGGAGGACGAAUCAGAACGAGGUGGUGAAUGGAGACUUUAGCUGAGGUCAGGCCUCCUGGCCGAGGUGAUGAAUCGGCGGAGGCUUAUUAUCAACGUACAGUGUGGUGAUAUAAUCUCAACCUUUCCAUAAAUCCCAGCCUGUGUCCUUGGUAUAAAUUUUUACUGUACGCUGCAAAACUUGUGUGUGUGUGUGUGUGUGUGUGUGUGUGUGUGUGUGUGUGUGCGCGUGUGUUGGUGUGUUGGUGUGUUGGGCAACGGUUUGUAUUAUCAAGACGCGAGUGUGUUUGAGGUGAUUCCGCAUGUAGACGAGCUUCACACUCGAUAGGCACAACCUUUUUAAAAUGUGUCUGAUCGAUGUGAAUGUGUGGAUUUGGCUCUAAUCCGCCCCGAGCUCCAGUGAAUCUCUGGUCCUGAGCGGUUCAUCUGUGGGGCUCGUAGCUGGAGGGCGGCUGGUCAUCACACGCCCGCCUGCAGUUCCUCUUAAGUGGCCUGGCGUCAAAUCAUCUUUCCCCAAAAAAACCCCCAAAACUUCUCUCUCUGAAGAAAUCCGUGUGGAUAACCCUAACCCGUGGUCUCUGGAUCAACCCACCGCGACGUCGCCCGUCGGUCUUUGGGUUCACCUGCACCUGCGACCUAGCUGUCAAUCAUACGUCAUCCAAAACGGACAUCAAGCCGUAUUGGAUUCAGAGACGUCCAAGAGAAACCGACCGCUGGAGAACAAGUAGCCGGGCACUGGUUACCGGUGACCACGUCCUGACUCCGUCUGCAGCCGCUUGCAACAAAAACUCAGACUCCUGCUGUUUUCAUAUUUGAGGGAGAAAAUAACAGCAGGGAUAAAUUCCCCAGUGUAAUCCCUGCAGACACAGUGGGUCUUCCUGUUGCCUUCUCUACAACCCGAACAACCUUAGAUCUGAUGCAGGUUCACUUAUCAGGGGCUUACUUCCUGUCUUUCCCACUGCGGAACGGGAAACCUGGGGGACCUCAGCUUGUCCGAGUGGACCUAUUCAUUUUCCUCCAGUUGCUCCAUUUCAUACUUCUGCGACCGCCUCCCUGGAUAAAGAUCUUUUUAGAUUCCAUGUCAUGGCAGGAAAACAGGGACCCAAGGUUGUUUUGAAUCUUCAGCCACGACAGAAAUACUUACAAACAUCGUGUCAUCAAGACGUGAAGCAGCGAAGCUGAUUGCUGCUGAUUUGCUGAGUUUACAACAUUUGCAUCUUUUUUUUUUUUCGCUCUUCUACUUGUUUUCGGAGGGAUAAAGACUUUAAAUGAGCCAGAAAAGACGUUCUGCACGUCUCAAUCCUCUGAUUGGUUUACUUCAUGUUAGUGUAUUCCCAAAACACGCCCAUUAUUUCAGUAAUUAGGAGACUGUGUAGAACCACUGAGAACUAUGUACGUGCCAUUAUCUCAAAAAGUUGGUCUGGACACAUAAACUCUUUUUUUUUAAAUAGACGUACUCAUCGACGUCCUGAAACCAAGGCCUGCAGCCUGUCUUCUCUGUAAUGACCAGCAGAGGGCGACUCUGUGAGGAAGUGACUCUACUUCUUCUCACUUGAUUCAUAACGUCAGUAAAACUUUUUCCUGAGGAGUUUAUGGUUCAAUCUCUAGUUUCAAGUCUUCGUCAGUACAGCAGGAUGAAGCAUGAUCGGAGCGUGGAUACAGCGUGAUUGACAGCUGCUACCGUCCAAUCUGUCAGGCCACACCCCCCAAAAAACCCCAAGAUGACGCCGAAACUUGAGGCUUCGAAAAAGAAAAUCACAUCUACUCACAUCUUUGAAUUGACUUUGUACGUAAUCUAGACGCUUGAAUAACUUGUGUCGCAUUAGGCGUGGACGCACCAUUCCACUCUUCUCCCAGAUUUCCCCCGUUGUGGGACGAAUUAAGGAUUAUCUUGUCUCAUCUUUGUCAAUAACUUUUGCUACUCUAGCAACUCUACCUAUUUUGCACAACUAGUGGUCAGACGACAAGAGAACCAUCCCCGUCGCCAAGAGAACCAUCCCCGUCGUCAAGAGAACCAUCCCCGUCGUCAAGAGAACCAUCCCCGUCUUCAAGAGAACCAUCCCCGUCGUCAAGAGAAGAACCAUCCCCGUUGUCAAGAGAACCAUCCCCGUCGUCAAGAGAACCAUCCCCGUCGUCAAGAGAACCAUCCCCGUCGCCAAGAGAACCAUCCCCGUCGUCAAGAGAACCAUCGCCGUCGUCAAGAGAACCAUCCCCGUCGUCAAGAGAACCAUCCCCGUCGUCAAGAGAACCAUCCCCGUCGUCAAGAGAACCAUCCCCGUGUCUUGUGUGCGAUGAGCUUGUGUCUCAAAGUGCCUCAGGUGAUGCUGUGGGUACAAUGACAGUGUGAUGUGUUUGAGCUGUGAUUAAAAUCACAGAUUUUGAUUUUGAUUUUCACUCCAGUAGUUGCAACAUGGAUCAACGCGAGUGAAAUAACAACUUCCACGGAGUCGGACAGCUGAAGUUUGAAUCACCUCUGCUGCUACAAAUCCUCUUCUUCGUCUGUCCGACGUAAUCGCAGAACUCGUCUCACAGCGCCGGAUGCCUGGAUGAGCUCCGGAGGCCGAAUGUGACAGACACAAACUGGAAGAUGAGAGCUGAGGAGCAGAGCUUCCAUCGGCCGACUUUCGCAAAAUUGCCCCACAUCUCCAUCGGCAGAUUCAGAAUAAACAUGAUAUGUAUCAUUAAUACAGUUUAUAACCGAAAAAACAUUAAAGUGAUAAAUGAAGUCUGUUA